rnacentral:tRNA from 1 species
UGAACUAUGGUGUAAUGGUAACACAUGAGAUUUUGGUUCUCAGAUUUCAGGUUCGAAUCCUGAUAGUUCAA